UCACCAGUUUCUUUCCACGAAUACCGAGAGAAAUCGAGCGGUGUUUUUCGUGUUCUUCAUAAUCAAACGAAGAUUUGAAGGUGUUAUUGGAGUCAGAAUCAAGGGUGCAAAUAGUCAAAUCGAAGAUAUCGAAGAGUAGAACCCAAAUCAAUCAUCAAAAACAACAUGAGAUUCACAGAAAGGAUUAAAGAUGAAUGGCUAGACUAUGAUUGCGAGUAAGGCUAAGGCUAGGCGAGGAUUCAGAGUUGAGGAUUCAGUGGUCAAGGAGUAUUCAGGAAGAUUUAUAAAGUUGGUGCUAGCUAGAGUUGAGCUAUUGAGAUUCAGAUGUAAUUCAUAGCUGGAACAAAUUGGCAGUGAUUCUUCUUAUCGAAGAUGAUCUGAUUUGGUAAGAGAUGUUGUGUAAUAAUUAGUGAUGGAUUCUAAUUUCAAUACUGUAACCUGGAUGCGAUCCUGUUGAUUUUAGGGGGUUUAAAUGUUCUCUUUCAAAUCUUU